AGGGCGCACGGUGGAUGCCUUGGCACUAGGAGCCGAUGAAGGACGGGACAAACACCGAAAUGCUUCGGGGAGCUGUAAGUAAGCGUCGAUCCGGAGAUGUCCGAAUGGGGGAACCCACUGUCCGUAAUGGGGCAGUAUCCAUACCUGAAUCCAUAGGGUAUGGAGGGCAACCCGGGGAACUGAAACAUCUAAGUACCCGGAGGAAGAGAAAGCAACAGCGAUUCCCUGAGUAGCGGCGAGCGAAACGGGAACAGCCCAAACCAAGAGGCGUGCCUCUUGGGGUUGUAGGACACUCGAUUAAGGAGUGACAAAGGAACGGGGUAGACGAAGAGGUCUGGAAAGGCCCGUCAGAGAAGGUAACAACCCUGUAGUCGAAACUCCGUUCCCUCCCGAGUGGAUCCUGAGUACGGCGGGACACGUGAAAUCCCGUCGGAAGCAGGGAGGACCAUCUCCCAAGGCUAAAUACUCCCUAGUGACCGAUAGUGAACCAGUACCGUGAGGGAAAGGUGAAAAGCACCCCGGGAGGGGAGUGAAAGAGAACCUGAAACCGUGUGCCUACAAGUAGUCAGAGCCCAUUAACGGGUGAUGGCGUGCCUUUUGUAGAAUGAACCGGCGAGUUGCGAUUUCGUGCAAGGUUAAGCCGAAAGGCGGAGCCGCAGCGAAAGCGAGUCUGAAGAGGGCGAAAUAGUACGAGGUCGCAGACCCGAAACCAGGUGAUCUACCCAUGUCCAGGGUGAAGGCAAGGUAACACUUGCUGGAGGCCCGAACCCACGCACGUUGAAAAGUGCGGGGAUGAGGUGUGGGUAGGGGUGAAAUGCCAAUCGAACUUGGAGAUAGCUGGUUCUCUCCGAAAUAGCUUUAGGGCUAGCCUCAAGGGAAGAGUCUUGGAGGUAGAGCACUGAUUGGACGAGGGGCCCCCAUCGGGUUACCGAAUUCAGUCAAACUCCGAAUGCCAAUGACUUAUCCUUGGGAGUCAGACUGCGAGUGAUAAGAUCCGUGGUCAAAAGGGAAACAGCCCAGACCGCCAGCUAAGGUCCCAAAGUAUACGUUAAGUGGAAAAGGAUGUGGAGCUGCUUAGACAACCAGGAUGUUGGCUUAGAAGCAGCCACCAUUUAAAGAGUGCGUAAUAGCUCACUGGUCGAGUGGCUCUGCGCCGAAAAUGUACCGGGGCUAAACGUAUCACCGAAGCUGCGGGUUGACACCGUUGGUGUCAGCGGUAGGAGAGCGUUCUAAGGGCAUCGAAGCCGGACCGGAAGGACCGGUGGAGCGCUUAGAAGUGAGAAUGCCGGUAUGAGUAGCGAAAGAGGGGUGAGAAUCCCCUCCGCCGAAAGCCUAAGGUUUCCUGAGGAAGGCUCGUCCGCUCAGGGUUAGUCGGGACCUAAGCCGAGGCCGAAAGGCGUAGGUGAUGGACAACAGGUUGAUAUUCCUGUACCACCUCCUCACCGUUUGAGCAAUGGGGGGACGCAGGAGGAUAGGGCAAGCGCGCGGCUGGAUGUGCGCGUCCAAGCAGUUAGGCUGGCAAGCAGGCAAAUCCGCUUGCCGGAAGGCUGAACUGUGAUGGCGAGGGAAAGGAAGUACCGAAGUUCCCGAUUCCACACUGCCAAGAAAAGCCUCUAGCGAGGUGAGAGGUGCCCGUACCGCAAACCGACACAGGUAGGCGAGGAGAGAAUCCUAAGGUGAGCGAGAGAACUCUCGUUAAGGAACUCGGCAAAAUGACCCCGUAACUUCGGGAGAAGGGGUGCUCAUCAAGGUGAUAAGCCAUGAUGAGCCGCAGUGAAAAGGCCCAGGCGACUGUUUAGCAAAAACACAGGUCUCUGCGAAACCGUAAGGUGAAGUAUAGGGGCUGACGCCUGCCCGGUGCUGGAAGGUUAAGGGGAGCGCUUAAGCUGUAGCUGAAGGUGCGAACCGAAGCCCCAGUAAACGGCGGCCGUAACUAUAACGGUCCUAAGGUAGCGAAAUUCCUUGUCGGGUAAGUUCCGACCCGCACGAAAGGCGUAACGAUCUGGGCACUGUCUCAACGAGAGACUCGGUGAAAUUAUAGUACCUGUGAAGAUGCAGGUUACCCGCGACAGGACGGAAAGACCCCGUGGAGCUUUACUGCAGCCUGAUAUUGAAUGUGGGUACAGCUUGUACAGGAUAGGUAGGAGCCAGAGACGCGUGAGCGCCAGCUUGCGCUGAGGCGACGGUGGGAUACUACCCUGGCUGUACUGACAUUCUAACCCGCGCCCCUGAUCGGGGCGGGAGACAGUGUCAGGUGGGCAGUUUGACUGGGGCGGUCGCCUCCUAAAAGGUAACGGAGGCGCCCAAAGGUUCCCU
rnacentral:rRNA from 1 species